CGCUGGCGGCGUGCUUCAUACAUGCAAGUCGAACGAGAAUCUGGACUUCGGUCAGAGGGAAAGUGGCGGACGGGUGAGUAAAAUGUAGAGAAUCUGCCCUAGAGAGAGGGACAACAGUUGGAAACGACUGCUAAUACCUCAUAUGCGCGUAGCUGAGAUGCUAUUCGUGAAAACUCCGGUGCUCUGGGAUGAGUCUGCAUCUGAUUAGCUAGUUGGCGGUGUAAUGGACCACCAAGGCGACGAUCAGUAGCUGGUUUGAGAGGAUGAUCAGCCACAAUGGGACUGAGACACGGCCCAUACUCCUACGGGAGGCAGCAGUAGGGAAUUUUGCGCAAUGGGGGAAACCCUGACGCAAGCAACGCCGCGUGAUUGAAUAAGCCCUUCGGGGUGUAAAGAUCUGUCAGUAGGGACGAAACUUGACGGUACCUACAGAGGAAGCAUCGGCUAACUCCGUGCCAGCAGCCGC
rnacentral:rRNA from 1 species